rnacentral:rRNA from 1 species
GACGAACGCUGGCGGCGUGCCUAAUACAUGCAAGUAGAACGCUGAAGGAGGAGCUUGCUUCUCUGGAUGAGUUGCGAACGGGUGAGUAACGCGUAGGUAACCUGCCUGGUAGCGGGGGAUAACUAUUGGAAACGAUAGCUAAUACCGCAUAAUAGCAGUUGUUGCAUGACAACUGUUUGAAAGGUGCAAUUGCACCACUACCAGAUGGACCUGCGUUGUAUUAGCUAGUUGGUGGGGUAACGGCUCACUAAGGCGACGAUACAUAGCCGACCUGAGAGGGUGAUCGGCCACACUGGGACUGAGACACGGCCCAGACUCCUACGGGAGGCAGCAGUAGGGAAUCUUCGGCAAUGGACGGAAGUCUGACCGAGCAACGCCGCGUGAGUGAAGAAGGUUUUCGGAUCGUAAAGCUCUGUUGUAAGAGAAGAACGAGUGUGAGAGUGGAAAGUUCACACUGUGACGGUAUCUUACCAGAAAGGGACGGCUAACUACGUG